rnacentral:rRNA from 1 species
UACGGAGGGCGCAAGCGUUUUUCGGAAUCACUGGGCGUAAAGCGCGUGUAGGCGGCUUGGUAAGUCGGGUGUGAAAGCCCGGGGCCUAACCCCGGAACUGCACUCGAAACUGCCACGCUCGAGUCCCGGAGAGGAUGGUGGAAUUCCCGGUGUAGUGGUGAAAUACGUAGAUAUCGGGAGGAACACCAGCGGCGAAGGCGGCCAUCUGGACGGUGACUGACGCUGAGACGCGAAAGCGUGGGGAGCAAACAGG